rnacentral:lncRNA from 1 species
UAUUGUUGCCACAGUGGAACAGCUUGUCACAGCAGCAUAAUUUAUUCUCUUUCUCUGAAAGCCUGGCACAAGAUUUGCAACUGAAAUUGCUUUUGUUUAAGACUCAACUAAUGCCGCCAACCACACCAAAAUGUGUAGUCACUGUGUGUGUCUGGCUGCAUGUUAAUUGUAGCAACGUCCUCAGGUGACAUCUGAAAGGCUGGAC